GUCCUCACUUCAGCAGCAUAUAUACUAAAAUUGGAACAAUACAGAGAAGAUAAGCAUGGCCCCUGCGCAAGGAUGACACACAAAUUCGUGAAGCGUCCCAUAUUUUU
rnacentral:snRNA from 1 species